AACCUGGGCAGCCAUACGGGAGCGCGCUUCGCUGGAUACAGUUUCUCAUUGGGAUGCCUCGGGAUCGCUGAACGCCUGAGACGUUGAAGCAGACGCUUCGGAUGCACGAGAGCUGUCGCUUAUCUGGGCUCAAGGAAUGGUGCCUACGCAGACGCUGCACUAUAGUGAUCCGUGUAGAGUAGUGUUUACUUGUAGAAGAGGAGCAGCAAUUCCUAGUCUUUUGGGGAAAGUUCAGGCAAUGAUCGGCUCUUCGUUGCCUGGACAAGCACCAGCUAGAGGCGUGCAAGUCGUGCUGCGAAGCCGGAAUUCGUCUUCAGCCCCGACUGCGACGGCGUGAGCAGACAAACCUUCCGGAGACGCGUGACGGCCCAUGGACGCACCGCCGCCUCGUUCAAGACGAAGCUUUGGCUUCAGAUGUACCCCGUGGCUAUCUUUAACGCGGAAGAAAGGCUGCGCUGUCGGGCGGUGUGGCGGCUUCAGCAUGCGGUGCCGCUCGCACCGUCUGGGCAGUCCCCGGCCCGAUCUUUCGUCCGACCUGAGAUCUACGCCUUGAACCAGAAUCCCUCGGACGUACGACUAGUUUCGAAAUCCAGGUUUGCGAUGACCGCUUCGAUCGCUUGGGUCCAGUGGUGGAGCUCGAGCGCGUGUGUAUGUGCUCAUGUCCGUUACCGACGUUUCACCGAUGAUCGUCCAAUAGGAUAGCUCGAUGAAGCUGGCGACCAAAAGCAACCGCGCAUACGUUGUGAAGGACAUGGCAAAUGCACGCAGCGCGUCUUUGCUGAACUGUUCGUGACGCUGGCAGACCGGUAGCCUUUCCUGUGACAGAACUGCGAUGUUACGUGUCUUCUUGGGUAGCGAGGAAGCCUGCUACGCAAGCGCACUGCAGGGUGGCUGUUGGCGUGCGUCCUGAACCCAAGCACGCUGCUGGGAUGAUCAGCUCGUCGCUUGGCAUCGAAGCAGACGCGCCUCGCCGACGCUAUGAGAUAGCAUCGCAGGUUUUGUUCUAAGAGACCCGAGCUGAUGCGCCCAACUUUGCAAUGACUUGCGUGCCGUGUUCCCUUACCUUUGGCCAAAGGGCGAACACUUGCGACAUUCUCGCACAAGGCAGGUGUAUUCAGUCUGCUGGUGGCUAUCAGAGCACUAACCAGUAGCCGCAAGAGUCAAGAUUCUGCAGGCUCUGCGCUUCACGGGCGCAUCUACUCGCCGCUGAUUUCGCUAGACGCAUGCGUCCAGCUGGAAUUUGCGCAGCGCUGCGGCCGGUCGCUGUUAAUCGAGGCCCUUCGGUGGAAAGCACUGCCACUCGACGGAUGCUGGUGCACGCGGAAGCACCUGGCAUCCAGAACACGGUUCGGCGGUGCCCGUGGCAGUGGCGGACGUGGCGGUAGCCCGUGAUGAUACCCCCCGCGCCCCCGGCACCUUAGAGGUAACGAGCCCAAUCGCUGAACGCGAAAUGCAUCACAGUGCACGCUCAGGUCCCGCUGCUACAGAGCGAUCGAGCUGGCACGCGAGCUAUCCUGGGUAGGGGUUUGCUGAUCAGCAGGGCGUCUGCUGCGGUCGACAUUCGAGCCAGUCUCAACAGUGACCAACUCGCAAGUCGUAAAGCCAUUCGUGAACACCCGUACGAUGCAGCGUGCGAGGCCUGCAUCGCCCUCAUCGUGUUGCGCUGCCUAUACAAACGAGCAAGGCCUUCUUCAUCCACGAAUGCCCAGCUCGAGGCGUCUCGAGUCAUCUGUGGCAUUGAGCAAGUGUCUGGUGGACCAGCGAGCGCCACGGCGACGCACUCCAGUGCCGAUGAACGCUACACACUCCAGAUUCGAGCCAGGAAACAGGUCCGCUGGUGUGUCUCCAGCAUCACCGUAGGAUCGUUUCGAUCAUGGACUGCGCUUGGUCAUAGUAUCCGCCACCAAACAGGGCGCCAUGAUUCAGAAUAUGGUAAAG